rnacentral:tRNA from 1 species
GGCCUAAUGGCCCAAUGGCAAGGCGCUUGACUACGAUUUAGUUCGAUAUCAAGAGAUUCCAGGUUCGACCCCUGGUUAGGUCA